GCACGAUGCCAAACAGACAGAGAUGGCAGAAAAUUAAAGAAAAACUGAAGGAGGCAGCGAAAUUGACAGCUUUCUUAUCAACAUGGGUGAAAAAGAUCCUCAGAGAGCUCUUUGCCAUGAGGUGCCAUGUUCAACUUCCAGUGACCAGUAUGACAGCAUUCAUCAAUUCUGGUGGAAUUGACCUGUGCCUACCUCUAUGCUCAGCAUCUUUCUACUUCUUCAAAUAUUUCAUCAUCCAAAAUGAGCAGGUUAAGAAGUUCCAAGCCAUUAAUUUGCUACAGAAAGUGGAUUUGUGCAGAAAGUCGGGCUGCACCCAGCAAACUGUGUUUAACUGAGCUGGAAGCCAAC
ensembl:lncRNA